UACGAAGGGGACUAGCGUUGUUCGGAAUCACUGGGCGUAAAGCGCACGUAGGCGGAUUCGUAAGUCAGGGGUGAAAUCCUGGAGCUCAACUCCAGAACUGCCUUUGAUACUGAGGAUCUUGAGUUCGGGAGAGGUGAGUGGAACUGCGAGUGUAGAGGUGAAAUUCGUAGAUAUUCGCAAGAACACCAGUGGCGAAGGCGGCUCACUGGCCCGAUACUGACGCUGAGGCACGAAAGCGUGGGGAGCAAACAGG
rnacentral:rRNA from 1 species